rnacentral:rRNA from 1 species
AUUGAACGCUGGCGGCAUGCCUUACACAUGCAAGUCGAACGGUAACAGGUCUUCGGAUGCUGACGAGUGGCGAACGGGUGAGUAAUACAUCGGAACGUGCCUGGUAGUGGGGGAUAACUACUCGAAAGAGUGGCUAAUACCGCAUGAGAUCUACGGAUGAAAGCAGGGGAUCGCAAGACCUUGUGCUACUAGAGCGGCCGAUGGCAGAUUAGGUAGUUGGUGGGAUAAAAGCUUACCAAGCCGACGAUCUGUAGCUGGUCUGAGAGGACGAUCAGCCACACUGGGACUGAGACACGGCCCAGACUCCUACGGGAGGCAGCAGUGGGGAAUUUUGGACAAUGGGCGCAAGCCUGAUCCAGCAAUGCCGCGUGCAGGAUGAAGGCCUUCGGGUUGUAAACUGCUUUUGUACGGAACGAAAAGCCCUGGGUUAAUACCCUGGGGUCAUGACGGUACCGUAAGAAUAAGCACCGGCUAACUACGUGCCAGCAGCCGCAGUAA